CGCUGGAAGCAUGACGGUGUGCGCGUCAUUCCCGGCAAUCAGCUCGACUCGAAUGUGCCGUCCACCACCGGCAUGGACCGCAAGGCUGCGAUCAAUUUCGCGCGGGUCGGCGCGCAGAAGCUGUGGGCCGGAACGGUGACGAUCAGGCCGGACGCAAAGACCGGCGCGCACCAUCACGGUCAUCUGGAAAGCGUCAUCUAUGUCGUGAAGGGCAAGGCGCGCAUGCGCUGGGGCGAACAUCUCCAGUUCACCGCCGAGGCCGGGCCGGGCGAUUUCAUCUUCGUGCCGCCUUACGUGCCGCAUCAGGAGAUCAACGCCAGCCCCGACGAAGUGCUCGAAUGCGUGCUGGUGCGCAGUGACGGCGAAGCCGUCGCUAUCAAUCUGGAUAUCGAGCCGGUGGAGAAGCCGGAGACCGUAUUGUGGGUCGAUCCGAUUCACCGCGACCCUGCGGAGAAGGCCUGAAAUCACCGGUAUCCGAG
rnacentral:misc_RNA from 1 species